rnacentral:lncRNA from 1 species
AGCUGCUCCUCACAAGCCACAUUUUUAACUGAGUGCUGAUUUAAAAUCAAGUUUGACAAAUAGCAUGUUGGGGUUGUCAGGUCCUGGAGCACUGUCUUCCAGGAAGUAUGAAAAAGGCACCAGAGGAGAGCUUGGCAUAGACUCCCAUAUGACAGUAAUUAAAGGCUUUUGCACUCGGGCUCUGGGAGCUGCUCCUCUUGUAAAUUGGCCUUGAUUGAAGAGGAAGAGAAUGAUUAGACUGGAGGAGAGUGAUGGGGGUGGCAGGAGAAAAUGCAGAGAGAUGCAAACAAGCCUUGAGAGGGGCAGACAAGAUUUACCCAGGAAGCAAUAGGAGCCCUUGAGCCCCGAUGCCAAUAAUCCUCAUCUGGAGUCAGUCCCGUUGGCUCCAGCCACUGCUGAGCUUGCUGGUGGAGAAAACCACUGCAUUGGAUCAAAUCAAUGUUAAAGGAAACUUCACAGAAGUCAAUAGCUAGUGGUCAAGAAGAGUUGCCAGACUCUUGCUUUCUCAGUAACUAAUAAAAGUGCUUUUUAGCACAAUUAAUGUGAUGUCUUGCUGAAGACUGAAGGAAAUCGGAAUUGAAACAUUUCUAUUUUGACAGACUCAGUGGAAAACUUCUGUUCAGACUGGUAGGAAUGAGACCAAUAAAUUUCUGUAAAAACUUUCUGAAUUCAGCCUUCAAGAUAAUAGAUAGGCUGUUCUGACUGUGGAUAAAUAAACUCUGUUUUAGUAAGCGUUUAAAGACUUUCAGGAUGACGAAGUGGAACAUACUUCAAGUCUCCAAAGAUGGGAAGUGGCUUCUGAGUCAAAUACCAAUCCAUGCCAGGGCUCAUAUUUUAGACUGAGGUCACUCUUUUGUGACUUGCUGACAGUGGUUUUUUUUUGUUGUUGUUUUGCUGUUGUUGUUGUUUUUGUGUUUUGAAGGAAAAAAGAAGAAAGAAAAAAGAAAAAGAAAACAUCACAGGCUGAAAAUAACAGUAAAACACUCCGCAGCUGCAAACCUGCUCUUAAAAAAAGCUUCCCAGGGGACAUAAAGCUUCAGCUACAGCCCAGAAAACCAGCUCAUCAAGCAACUAGUGAGGUGGAAAACCCUAACUUGGGUGACAACAGGCCCACCUGUUGCUCAUUUCUGUCAAGGCACCAGAAGACGCCAGGAAAUCUUUGUUCCCACCAGCAAGUACUCAAAGGGCAGCCUCAAGGUGGGAGCAUCUCUCUGCCUUCCCAUUUUGUGAAGACCAUCUCAACUUGCAGCUCUUGCCUGCUCAGGCCAUCCCAAAAGCAGGUGGUGGAAAGGCUGGAUCAGUACCUUCUGGAAAAGCAAGGCAGGUCUCCC